rnacentral:lncRNA from 1 species
AUUUGGAAUAUAUAUAUAUAAUAGCACAAAAUCAUUGGUGCUAUCAGGUUUUCGACUCUUGGAUGAUGGGAUGUGUGGUUAGGAUGAUAGUGAUCCACUAGAGUUGAGUAGAUAGUUGGUUGAAUAGUAUGAUCUUACAGGUAAAAAUGAUUAAAGGGGUAGAUCUAAUGGUAGAAAAUUUAAUAACAUCAAGAACUCAGUACUAUCGAUAGUAUAGUAACUGAACUCUCUCUCUCUCCCUCUCUCUCUCUCUCUCUAUAUAUAUAUGUGUGUAUAAAACUAAGCUACUGUGCUAUUAAUAGCACCAAGUCAUUAGUGCUAUUAGGUUUAAUUUCGGCCCUUGGAUGAAGGGAUGUACGGUUAGGAUGAUAGUGGUUUCCUAGAGUUGAGUGGAUGAUUAGUUGAAUAGUAUGAUCUAACGAGUAAAAAUAAUCAAAAGAGUAAAUUUAACGGUGGAAAAUUUGGUAGUACCAAGCACUUAGUGCUAUUGAUAGUAUAAUAGCCUAACUAUAUAUAAGUAUUCCAGCCUAAUUUUAUCUAUAUCUAUACUAUAUAUAAAAGCGUAUAGGAAUUCCGACAAUAACAGACGGAAUCCAAAAAGGAAUAAAAUAAUAUUCCCUACGAAUGAUUAUGAUUAAUUUGUUAAAAUAUCUCAAAUAAAAAUUAACGGUUAUGAUCAAUCUAUUAAAUAUAAAAUAAUAUUUCCUACGAAUGAUUAUGAUUAAUUUGUUAAAAAUAUGUUAAAUAAAAACGAACGGUUAUGAUCAAUCUAUUAAAUUUCUACUACAUAUAAAAAUCUAUUCCCUAUAAUAUGAUCAAUUUGUUAAAAAAAUAUCUN